rnacentral:rRNA from 1 species
AGGAUAAACGCUGGCGGCGUGCCUAACACAUGCAAGUCGAACGCGCUUUCGGGCUUCGGUGCGAGAGCGAGUGGCGGACGGGUGAGUAACACAUGGGUACCUACCUUGGAGUGAGGGAUACCGGCGAGAAAUCGCCGACAAUACCGCAUAGGCUUCUUCACAAGGGAAGCAAAGUGACGCGAGUCACGCUUUGAGAUGGGCCUGUGGCCGAUUAGCUAGUUGGGGGGGUAACGGCUUCCCAAGGCGACGAUCGGUAGCUGGUCUGAGAGGACGAUCAGCCACACUGGGAUUGAGAACGGCCCAGACUCCUACGGGGGGCAGCAGUGAGGAAUUUUCCGCAAUGGAGGCAACUCUGACGGAGCAACGCCGCGUGCAGGAGGAAGGUUUCGGAUCGUAAACUGCUUUUCUCGGGGACGAGCAAGGACGGUACCCGAGGAAGAAGCCCCGGCUAACUACGCGCCAGCAGCCGC